rnacentral:rRNA from 1 species
UACGUAGGGGCCUAGCGUUGUCCGGAAUUAUUGGGCGUAAAGAGCUCGUAGGCGGUUCGGCAAGUCGGAUGUGAAAUCUCCUCGCUCAACGGGGAGCAGCCAUUGGAAACUACAGAACUGGAGUCUGGCAGAGGUAGGCGGAAUUCCGGGUGGAGUGGCGAAAUGCGUAGAGAUCCGGAGGAACACCAGAGGCGAAGGCGGCCUACUGGGCCAGUACUGACGCUGAGCCGCGAAAGCCAGGGGAGCGAACGGG